AACGAACGCUGGCGGCAUGCCUAACGCAUGCAAGUCGAACGAGACCUUCGGGUCUAGUGGCGCACGGGUGCGUAACGCGUGGGAACCUGCCCUUAGGUUCGGAAUAACUCCCCGAAAGGGGUGCUAAUACCGGAUAAUGUCUUCGGACCAAAGAUUUAUCGCCUUUGGAUGGGCCCGCGUUGGAUUAGCUAGUUGGUAGGGUAAAAGCCUACCAAGGCGACGAUCCAUAGCUGGUCUGAGAGGAUGAUCAGCCACACUGGGACUGAGACACGGCCCAGACUCCUACGGGAGGCAGCAGUGGGGAAUAUUGGACAAUGGGCGAAAGCCUGAUCCGGCAAUGCCGCGUGAGUGAUGAAGGCCUUAGGGUUGUAAAGCUCUUUUACCCGGGAUGAUAAUGACAGUACCGGGAGAAUAAGCUCCGGCUAACUCCGUG
rnacentral:rRNA from 1 species